UUCGACAUUGUAACUGAUUCAUUGCUUGAACCUCUGUGAUUGAAAUUUUUUCCAGUGUUUUCUGAAAUCUGAAACAAUCUACACUAUCUCCAUUUAACUAUUGUUCAUUCUCUCUCUGUCUCUCUUUCUCUCCCAAACUGUAUAACUGUUGAAACUGCAAAAGACAGUGGUUGGUGGGAGAGAAGAUGGAAGUAGAUAGAGUGGAUGGUCGCACACCGAACCAAUUGAGACCGCUCGCUUGUUCUCGUAACACACUCAAUCGUGCUCAUGGCUCUGCCACUUGGUCUCAAGGGGAAACGAAAGUUAUUGCUGCAGUAUACGGGCCGAAAGCAGGAACCAAGAAGAAUGAAAACCCUGAAAAGGCUUGCAUCGAAGUUGUCUGGAAGCCCAAGACUGGGCAGAUUGGGAAACCAGAGAAGGAGUAUGAGAUGAUCCUCAAAAGGACUUUGCAAAGUAUCUGUCUUUUGACUAUCAAUCCAAAUACCACAACCUCAGUUAUAGUUCAGGUUGUUAAUGAUGAUGGUGCUCUUCUCCCAUGUGCAAUAAAUGCUGCAUGUGCUGCCCUUGUGGAUGCUGGAAUUCCUUUGAAGCAUCUUGCAGUUGCAAUAUGUUGUUGUCUGGCAGAAAGUGGAUACAUUAUACUGGACCCGAACAAGCUAGAAGAGCAGAAAAUGAAGGCAUUUGUGUAUUUAGUUUUCCCAAACUCGAUUCUCUCUGUCCUUCCGGGAGCAUCAUUACAGGUGGGAGAUGAGCCGAUGGAACAUGGGCUAAUUACGUCUGUUACACAUGGUGUAAUGUCAGUGGAUGAUUAUCUUCAGUGUCUAGAACGAGGUCGGGCUGCAAGUGCAAAGUUGUCUGGAUUUCUCAGGAGAAGUUUGCAGCUGCAGGUGUCCAAGUAAUUUCUCCAAUGCCGAGUGAUUUUGACAUGAUUGCAAGGGGGUGUAGAUUCUGAAGAGUUGCAAGGUGCAAGACCGUAUUGCCAUCGUUGUCUGGCAAGUUCACCAGCCUCGUAAUGUUGAGCGUCUCGACCAAGUACCUCAGCACCUCGUACUGAUUAUUUUUCACAGCCAGGUGAAGAACUGUUUCGCCAUUUUUGGUUACCAUCUCAGCAGAUUCAAGGCUCAUGGAGAGUAUUUCGUCGACAAUGUUAACUCGACCUUUGAUGGCUGCCCAGUGGAGGGGAGUUCGACCUUCA